rnacentral:rRNA from 1 species
UACGUAGGUGGCAAGCGUUAUCCGGAAUUACUGGGCGUAAAGCGCACGCAGGCGGUCUGUUAAGUUUGACGUGAAAGCUCCCGGCUUAACUGGGAGAGGUCGUUGAAGACUGGCAGGCUUGAGGCAAUGAGAGGGGUGUAGAAUUCCCGGUGUAGUGGUGGAAUGCGUAGAUAUCGGGGGGAAUACCAGUGGCGAAAGCGGCACCCUAGCGUUGUUCUGACGCUCAUGUGCGAAAGCGUGGGGAGCGAACGGG